rnacentral:rRNA from 1 species
UGCAGUCGAAGGUCUCUUCGGAGGAGUGGCAGACGGGUGAGUAACGCGUGGGAAUAUACCUAUCAGUACGGAACAACAGUUGGAAACGACUGCUAAUACCGUAUACGCCCUUCGGGGGAAAGAUUCAUCGCUGAUAGAUUAGCCCGCGUUAGAUUAGCUAGUUGGUGGGGUAAAGGCCUACCAAGGCGACUAUCUAUAGCUGGUCUGAGAGGAUGAUCAGCCACACUGGGACUGAGACACGGCCCAGACUCCUACGGGAGGCAGC